rnacentral:rRNA from 1 species
GACGAACGCUGGCGGCGUGCCUAAUACAUGCAAGUAGAACGCUGAGGGGAGAGCUUGCUUCUCUGGAUGAGUUGCGCACAGGUGAGUAAAGCGUAGGUAACCUGCCUGUUUACGGGGGAUAACUAUUGGAAACGAUGGCUCAUACCGCAUAAUAGUAAAUGUUGCAUAACAUUUGCUUAAAAGAUGCAGUUGCAUCACUACCAGAUGGACCUGCGUUGUAUUAGCUAGUUGGUGGGGUAACGGCUCCACAAGGAGACGAUACUUAGCCGACCUGCGAAGGGGAGCGGGCACACUGGGAACGAGACACGGCCCAGACUCCUACGGGGGGGAGGAGGAGGGGAACUUCGGCCAAUGAGGGAAGGCCGGACGGGCAACGGCGGGGGAGGGGAUAAGGGUUUCGGGUCGUAAAGACCUGGUUUAAGGGAAGGAAGAGUUGUGUAGGUAAAUAUGCACGCUUUGACGGUAUCUAAUCAGAAAGGGACGGCUAACUACGUG